rnacentral:sRNA from 1 species
GCCACAGUUCUUCCUCGCAAGUGAAGCAACGUCUCCGGCUUUCGCGGGGAUGGUACUGCAAUACCUCAUGGAUCGAAUUCAUGAAGUGGGUACUUCGGAUGUGUCCAAAUCAAGGAUUCUGCUGAGGAUGUUUAAGCUGUCGUUCAUGGCAGUCACACUUUUCUCCUCACAGAACGAGCAGGUUUUGCAUCCCCACCUCACCAAAAUCGUUACCAAGUGCAUAGAGCUCUCCGUCACCGCCGAGGAGCCGAUGAAUUAUUUCCUCCUCCUCCGCUCGCUGUUCCGAAGCAUAGGUGGAGGCAGAUUUGAACUCCUUUACAAGGAAAUCUUACCACUUCUUGAGAUGCUUCUUGAGACCUUCAAUAACCUUCUCCUGAGCGCCCGGAAACCACAAGAACGGGAUCUUUACGUCGAACUCACUUUAACAGUCCCAGCCCGUCUUAGCCAUCUACUUCCCCAUCUUAGUCACUUAAUGCGUCCCAUUGUCGUUGCACUUCGGGCUAGCUCCGAACUCGUUGGUCAGGGUCUCCGCACUCUCGAGCUUUGUGUUGACAACUUGACUGCAGCGUAUCUAGACCCUAUAAUGGCGCCGAUCGUAGAUGAACUGAUGACCGCUCUUUGGGACCAUCUUCGUCCAAACCCUUAUAGCCAUUUCCACGCACAUACUACCAUGCGAAUCCUGGGGAAACUAGGUGGCCGCAAUCGGAAAUUCCUCAACCAUCCGCCAG